AAGUCAUAACAACGUUUCCAUAGGUGAACCUGUGGAAGGAUCAUUAUCAAAGUCUCCACCUCUUUUUCUCUUUGCCUUCAGCUCAUGGCUUCAUGUUAUAGGAAGCUGCUGAAGGUGAAUGGAUAGCGUGCACCACAUUGUAGUAGAUCAUUGACCAUUUGCUGUGUGCGGGUCUACUACCCCUCCUUUCUGUCAUCAACUAAAACCGGUCAUUGUAUGUUGGUGGGCACUUUGCCCUUUAAUAUCUGAAUAUAUAACUUUCAACAACGGAUCUCUUGGCUCUC
rnacentral:misc_RNA from 1 species